UAGGUAGCUCCAAAAACAUAUCUUUUUUUUUAUAUAUAUAUAUAUCUUUUAAUUUUGACCUUGAUACAGCCUUUGGAUUUUGGCCGUGCCCACUUUUCCUGCUGACACUGUGAUGUCUUGUAUCAUCCAGGUGAGCUACAGUGUCUGUGGUCCUAUUUUUUUUUUAUUUCUAAUUUAUUU